rnacentral:lncRNA from 1 species
CCCAUGCCCUUACCCGCGGCGCGUGAAUACGAAGGGGGGCACAGCUCGGCCCCGAGGCCGCACCAAAGCUUGCUCAGCUCCUGCUGCCUCUGAGCCGCCGCCUCCGGCCGCCGAGGCGAAGGGCCACAGGCCCCGAGCUUUGGACCCGCUGGCGCCCAUGUCAGGGCCGCCGGCGCAUGGCGGGCCCCGUGGCCGCUCUGCUCACACCGCAGUCCGCACUACCAUAACCUGCCCCAGCCGCUGAUCGCAGGUGCCGCCGCCGCCGCCUUCCGCAGGCUCGGCUGUCUCCACGGAAACCUCACUUCCGCUUCCGCAUGUUCUCUGGGCUCAUUCCCCCAGCACAGGAGGGCCUCCAUGCACACUCAUUCCACAGGCCCCACUGGCCCUGUCACACUCACACGGCACGCACUUGGCGCUGCCUGCAGGCGUGCAGGGCCUCUUGGAUCUUCUGGCGGCAAUAGGAGUACUUCUGCAGGAUCUGGCGGAGGUGCUCCUCCUCCUCCCGCUGCAGGAUACGUAGGAAGUUAUGUAGUUCAGGCAUGCUGAAGGCGUCCCACUGCAAGGGGCAA